rnacentral:rRNA from 1 species
AUUGAACGCUGGCGGAAUGCUUUACACAUGCAAGUCGAACGGCAGCACGGGGGCAGCCCUGGUGGCGAGUGGCGAACGGGUGAGUAAUACAUCGGAACGUGCCCGGUCGUGGGGGAUAACGUAGCGAAAGUUACGCUAAUACCGCAUACGAUCUGAGGAUGAAAGCGGGGGACCUUCUGGCCUCGCGCGAUCGGAGCUGCCGAUGUCAGAUUAGGUAGUUGGUGGGGUAAAGGCCUACCAAGCCGACGAUCUGUAGCUGGUGUGAGAGGACGACCAGCCACACUGGGACUGAGACACGGACCAGACUACUACGGGAGGCAGCAGUGGGGAAUGUUGGACAAUGGGCGCAAGCCUGAUCCAGCCAUGCCGCGUGCAGGACGAAGGCCUUCGGGUUGUAAACUGCUUUUGUACGGAAAGAAAAGGCUCUGGCUAAUACCUGGGGCUCAUGACGGUACCGUAAGAAUAAGCAACGGCUAACUACGUG